CUUUUUUGUUAGGAAGAUUAAAUUUCUAUGAACCCAACCAUGAUAUUUAAAGUUCAAUUAGUUUUUCUCCUGGUGUUGUUGGGUCAUGAAUUCACGGAUGCAAGUUUAGAAAUCUUCGAAAUAUGCGCCACGGUUGAAGGAGACGAAUUAUAUAUAAACAUCAUAGAUUUCUAUGAAUAUAAUGUUUAUAUGAAUGAUCCCGUACAAAGACCUAUAUUUGUGGGUACUAAAUUAGUCUAUGGUUAUAUCAAUGAAUCAAGAAAACUUAACAUUGGAUCCAACAAAAUUCCUUUCAAGCCCUCUAUAAUAGGAAACAGUAUUGUGUUUCAUUAGUUCUAGUGAUUAUUAUUUGAAC